CCUACGGGCGGCUGCAGUGGGGAAUAUUGGACAAUGGGGGGAACCCUGAUCCAGCCAUGCCGCGUGUGUGAAGAAGGCCCUCGGGUUGUAAAGCACUUUCAGUGAGGAAGAACGCCUGGUGGUGAAUACCCAUCAGGAAAGACAUCACUCACAGAAGAAGCACCGGCUAACUCCGUGCCAGCAGCCGCGGUAAUACGGAGGGUGCGAGCGUUAAUCGGAAUUACUGGGCGUAAAGCGCGCGUAGGUGGCUUGAUAAGCCGGUUGUGAAAGCCCCGGGCUCAACCUGGGAACGGCAUCCGGAACUGUCAAGCUAGAGUGCAGGAGAGGAAGGUAGAAUUCCCGGUGUAGCGGUGAAAUGCGUAGAGAUCGGGAGGAAUACCAGUGGCGAAGGCGGCCUUCUGGACUGACACUGACACUGAGGUGCGAAAGCGUGGGUAGCAAACAGGAUUAGAUACCCGUGUAGUC
rnacentral:rRNA from 1 species